ensembl:lncRNA
AUUUUUUUUCUUGAUUCCCUAUGGGCAUUUUUCAUAGAUAUAAGUAUUUAUACAACUUAAAGGAACAGCCACACUGAAGAUACUCUGACUGAUAUAGAAAACCCUAUGAAGAAGACAUAAAGAUUCACAUCUCACAGAACAAGAACGUACUGAAUUCUUCCUUGGUCCUACCGAUGCAAAAACCAUAGAAACCUCUAUGUGUUGUUGGGUCUGAACAUCAGGUUUUUUGUGCAGGGAGAGUGAAGUGCUCCAAAUGAGGUUUUGCAGAGCUGGCUUGCUGUGCUUCCAGCUGAGGUAGAUCAUCAGAAACAUGGAGGGCCAGUGCUGAUCGGAAUGCACAAAAAGGCUGAAACACAAAAUCUGAGGCUUGUGGAAAAAGCCUCUUUCUCUAUCAGAUUUACAGCUGGAAAUCAUCUCCUGAAUUUCUUCACCUAAGCCAAUCCAACUGCAUUCAUAUGAAGUACAGAUAAGGAAAGGACCUAUGUGAUGUCUGGUUUCUUAAGUGUUAUCUGGCUCCAGGUGAAGUAUGAAUCAGUGUUUGGAGGAGUUCUAUAAGAUCAAAUCUGUGACAGCUGCAGGCUUGCUCAUCUCAAGACCCUCAGACCACUUCAUAACCAAGGAUACAUUAGUGGAGCAUCCUGAAUAAUCUUAUGUCUUUCCGGAAGUCAUUCUCAGCUGGAUUUUGGCAUAAGACUUGUUGUUGAUAACAGCAGAUGUGCUUUCUGGUGACUUUCUCAAGAUAUUCAAAGUAAGUUCAAAGCCCAUUUUGUGCUGCACACAUCUGUAUAAUGACAGACACCUAAGGACAUCUGCACCGGACUGAAGGAUGUGACACGAGACCAACAGGAAACACAUGAUCAUCUAACUUUGUAACUGGAGACCUAGUGGGAUAACUUUGGUCAUCUAAAAUGUAAUUAGAUUUCUAUGACAAGACAGAUGAGUCAUUUCUGAGUAGAUGAAAACAUUGUUAUAGCUUGUGUUUUGUAGAUGGAGAGAAAAGGCCAAGGGAAAUGCCACAUCCAGCACAAGUAAUGAAUUUUCUGGUAAAGUCAGGUGUCAAAAGCAGAGCACUGGAGUCUCUCAGUUGUGGUUUGGCCAAGGUUUUGAGGCUGAAUUGUGUAUCCCAAACACAAAAAUUUGUACCCAGCUCACUGGCAAGAGAACCUCACUUCUACUCAGAAAAAAAGGGUCGUGUUCAGUCUGGUUCUGUAAGUGCCUUAUGCCUCACCAUUGCUUCCUCUGUUAGUUGUGCAGGGAUCAGAGUGAGGGAAAUUGAUCAUGAGAUAAAGCCAAGAAUCCCCUUCCAAAAUCUAAGAUAGUAAGACAGGUGCCUAAAUUUACCUUCAGUACCACAGUAAGUGGUCUGAAAAAGUAUUACUGCUCACAGCUUGACUAAAAUAUCCUACAUAAAUCUUGAUUAUCCCCUUUAUGGUGAAGUUCAUGUGGGUCACUAUGAUUUUGGGGCUAGCAAUUAACUUUCCUUAUACUAUUCCCUGUAAUUAGAAUCAUAUCUGGAAACAGUGUUGCCAGGGUAAUUGCAAAGGCAUUUGUAGGCGUUUUAAUAGGGACCACUGUGUAAAACUUUCCCCUGUUGCUGAUUUUGGCAUCCUGACCUAUGUUUUCUCAUGUUCUUUAUAAAAAGAGCUGUUCUAAAUGUUUUGCUGGCUGCCUUGCCUCCCUUUCCUGACCUCUUUCUUAUUAAAAGCUAUAGCAAGAAGUCAGUCAUUAAAAGUUGAUCUGUCUGUCUUGAUGAGACUCAGUUCUUAACACAAAUUUCCUAGGGUAUCUGCAUAAUAGUUAUAUAAGGUAUUAACCACCCAGAUAAACACUACCUAUGAGGAAUGAUGUGCAAUUGUGACUUAUUUUCUAUUUAGUAUCUGUGGUUUUAAUAGAUGUAAGAACAAACAGAUAUGGUGCAAUAGAGAAUGCAGUAAAUUGAGAAUAAAAUGUAUAUAUAUACUUCAAAUGCAUCUUGAUGAUGAAGUCUCAAACAGAGCUGUUCUCAAAAGGUAUCAGUAGCCAUCAUACGAACACACCAUUCCCCCUCCUCUCCCAUCAGUCCUAAACUUACUCCAGGGCAAUAGUGCUGACUUCCCAACUAAAUAGGGCAUCCUACCAGCUAUCCAGAAAGACUUGUGAUUU